CUAGAAUUAGGGUUUGAUCUGACAGAAUUCCACGAGUUUUGUUGUUUAUCUGUUUCUGUAGGGGGUUAUCAGGAAAUAAGGAAGAAAGGCCCACAUGUCAGGAUUACAUAGAGAUAUCAACGCACCGCGUAAUUUUACAUCAUCUAGAAGACUCCAGAAGCCACGAGAUCGAAGCGGAGGCAAAACUGGGCCAGGCCCAGGGCGCCCGCCC
rnacentral:lncRNA from 1 species